GGAUUGACAGUGGAUAAGGUUAGGACCGUAAAGAAGUUCCAAGAUGUUUUUCCGGAGGAGCUUCCAGGAUUGCCUCCGAACCGAGAAGUGGAGUUUGGAAUCAACUUAUUGCCUGGAACGGCACCAGUGUCUAUCGCACCGUAUAGAAUGGCACUGAAGGAGUUGGUGGAGCUAAAGGCACAAAUUCAAGAGUUGUUGGAUAGGGG
rnacentral:lncRNA from 1 species